AAUCAACGCUGGCGGCGUGCCUCAGACAUGCAAGUCGAACGAUUAAACUUGCCUUCGGGCAAGAUAUAAAGUGGCGCACGGGUGAGUAACACGUAAGUAAUCUACCUUCGAGUGGGGAAUAACGUCGGGAACCGACGCUAAUACCGCAUAAUGCAGCGGCACCUAAUGGUGACAGUUGUUAAAGGAGCAAUUCGCUUGAAGAGGAGCUUGCGGCAGAUUAGCUAGUUGGUAAGGUAAUGGCUUACCAAGGCUACGAUCUGUAACCGGUCUAAGAGGACGGUCGGUCACACUGACACUGAAUAACGGGUCAGACUCC
rnacentral:rRNA from 1 species